CCACCCUCGUUAGCUGUCUACAAAUUUAAGAACGGGGUGGUGGUGGUGUCUUUUAUCCACGAAACACUGAUACAUAAGGAUCGGGAUUUAUUAUAUCACGAGAUAUGGCAGAGUCGGGGUUACUUCGGUUUGCUUCGGUUUCCUUCAUAUACAGUGAGCUGCAGCAGAGGGCCCAGGACUUCUUCGACGAUCACGACGGUAUCCUUGAUGACGUCUUCCGGUUAGGGCUGUUUUCCUUUCUCGCCGUCCCUGUUACGACCUGGCUGUGGCGUCAGUACUACCAGCAUGCCAAGGACCCCCGCAGCAAACUGCCCCUCCCCCCAGGGUCUAUGGGCUUUCCUUUGGUGGGCGAAACAUUGUCCAUCAUAGCUAAAGGUUCUGACUUCUUCCUGUCUCGGAGGGAACAGUACGGCCACGUAUACAAGACUCACCUACUGGGACAGGCUACCAUCAGAAUCAUCGGGGCUGAUAAUGUACGCCAUAUUUUGAUGGGGGAACACAUCACUGUUGAGAGCAGCUGGCCUAAAUCACUCAAGCGUCUGAUGGGGCCUGGUGGACUACUGAACGCAACUCCUGACAGUCACAGGAUCAGGAAGAAGCUACUCCUCCAGGCUUUAGCUCCUGCAGCAAUACAAGGGCAUGUUCCAAGAAUUCAAAAACUUGUCAGAAGCCAUAUUUUAGACUGGUGCAACAAGGGGGAACAACUCGGAACUGAUAUUUGCAAAAGUUUGGCGAUGUCAGUUGCUGCCAACAUCCUUAUUGGAUUUGAUGUCGAUGAUCAGAACCUCCAGUCAAUAAUUAGUUCUUUCCAGACUUUCAGUGGCAACUUGUUCUCAUUGCCAUGGGAACUACCCCGAUCAGGACUGUCCAAGGGUCUAAAAGCACGAGAACAGCUCAUAAAGGAAAUUAAGAAAAGACUGCAGUGUGAGACACAACACUGGUCCCUUGUUGAUGAACUGAAGAAUCUUGAUGAAACGGCUGCCACACUCACAGCAGACGAAUUGGCAGACGCCAUCUUGGAAUUAUGGUUUGCAGGGAACGACACCAGUUCCAGCACGUCAAAUUCAACACUACUGGCUUUAGGUAAAGAUGAUGGUUUCCGAAAACGAAUCGAAGAAGAACUGGCCGAGAACGGACUGUUGAAUUCUGAAGAUGAGCUGACGUUUGACAGUUUAAAGAAGCUGACCUACGUAGAUCACGUGGUGAAGGAGGUGCUCAGAGUGUAUCCGCCUGUUGGUGGUGCCUUCAGGAGAGUCAAGAAAACAAUGGAGAUUGAGAGGCAUCUAAAACGGAGACCACAAUCCUAAUAGAAUGGGCACAUCUACAACCUUAAACAACAUAAAAAGAGGGACUAUGUUAUAAUUAUUAUGUUUAAAACGGGCUUCCAGAUUCCAGAGGGAUGGUCUGUGAUCUACAGUAUCCGGGACACGCAUCAAACCACCAAACUCUUUGAAGACAGGGAGGAAUUCCAACCGGAUCGCUGGAAUGACAUGGACAAGGAGACCCGUGAGCAACGGUUCC
rnacentral:misc_RNA from 1 species